rnacentral:RNase_P_RNA from 1 species
UCAGUUUUGUGGGUGAUCGCUUUACAAGCAACUUGGUUGAAAAACUGGGGGGCUUAUGAAGAGGAAAGUCUGGACUCCAUAGGGUGGCGCAAGGGGUAACUCCCCUCCGGCUUUGGUUUUUUAAAUCAGGGUUGAGGAACAGUGGAACAGAGAGAAUGUCCAGGACGAUGAGGGCAGUGCCGGGAACGGGAGGCCUGUCGUAUGUUGCUGGAGUGAAAACAGCCAAACUCUGCGUGGAGCAAGAUCAAAUAGGGAAGCAUAGAAAGCACGACCCGUGCAGAGCUUCCGGGUCAGAUCGCUUGAGGUCGAAAGUAAUUUCGAUCCUAGAGGAAUGAUCAUCCAGAGACCGUCAGUGGGACUGAGGGUCUUGGACAGAAUCCGGCUUAUAGCAAAACUGGAAUC